rnacentral:rRNA from 1 species
ACGCUCGACACCUACGGGGAGGCAGCAGGUGGGGAAUAUUGCACAAUGGGGGAAACCCUGAUGCAGCGACGCCGCGUGAGCGAAGAAGUAUUUCGGUAUGUAAAGCUCUAUCAGCAGGGAAGAAACUGACGGUACCUGACUAAGAAGCACCGGCUAAAUACGUGCCAACAGCCGCGGUAAUCUGAGGCGGGCUGGCAAGGC